rnacentral:rRNA from 1 species
CAACCCUUGUCCUUAGUUACCAGCACGUAUGGUGGGCACUCUAAGGAGACUGCCGGUGACAAACCGGAGGAAAGGUGGGGAUGACGUCAAGUCAUCAUGGCCCUUACGGCCUGGGCUACACACGUGCUACAAUGGUCGGUACAAAGGGUUGCCAAGCCGCGAGGUGGAGCUAAUCCCAUAAAACCGAUCGUAGUCCGGAUCGCAGUCUGCAACUCGACUGCGUGAAGUCGGAAUCGCUAGUAAUCGUGAAUCAGAAUGUCACGGUGAAUACGUUCCCGGGCCUU